GGUGACGCUUAUUUCUAUUGAAUGUGUCAAUCCAUAUCGCUCUCUCUCCCUCCCUCCAAGUCCAAGUUAGAGAGAGAGUUUUUGUUCGAGAGCUUUGGUUCCUUUACCAUUUUCUCUUUUCCCAACUUUUACUUUCUUUCAACACUCUCUCUCAAACGGUGGAUUUUAUGGGGACUGAAAUUGUUGAAUGUUCUCCUGGUCACCUUUUCUACUUCGUCUCUCUCUCUGUGACCCAAAAUUUAAUAGAAGAAAAGCUCUUUGCUUUCUUGCACUGCUUAGACUCCUGCUGAUUCUAUCGCACUCAGAUCGUGUCAGCUGCAGAGCUAACUGGGUUUAGCUGCUGAUUUGGUAAAUAUAUCUGUAUGUAUGUAGUCUUCAAGCUGUCCUUACCUGGAAGUAGAUUAAAGACAAGAGCUUUUCUUAAUUUGGGAACUUGUUAUUGGACUUUGGCUUAAAUCAGUUUCUGCUUCUGGGUUACUGAAUUUGACCUUAGAAGGUGUCAAAUUUUUCUACUUUACCGUUAGAGAUGUAGAGAAGUUGAAGAAUCACUAGAAUAUAAUGAUACAUGACAACAAGGGAACUUGCUUGCUUUGAUUAUUUGCUUCUGAGAGUGUAAGUUUAAUCUUCAUAUGGAAAUGGGUGUCUCUAUCUGGGUUUUCGAUUUCUUAUAGUGCCGAUUGUUGCUCAUUGAGUGUGUAUCUGGUUUGAUUCUUCUAUCUGAGGUAUCGAAUUUUCGGUUCAGUUCUGCUUUGAGGGUUUGACACGAUUUGUGGUUGGGGUCUUUUGUUUUUGAAGUCAUGAUCAAGAAUUUAAUUGGUAAGCUUCCUAGGAAGCCGUCUAAGUCAGCCGAGAAUCGUGAAUCUGGGGGUUCAUCUGCCGCUACAUUGAAUGCUUCCUCUAUAGGUUCAAGAAGCGGUGAUGUAGGGAAUAGGCCAAUUAAUUCAAAUAGCGUACCUCUUUCAGGCCUUGAUUCUGAUUCAAAUUUAGGAUAUGGCCAUGGAAGUAAGCUCCCUCAACUUGUCAACUCAAGUCUGAAUUCUGUUACCACUUCUUAUGAAGCGUUUCCAGCUUUUAGAGAUGUACCAAACUCCGAGAAGCAUCACUUGUUUGUGAAAAAGCUGAACUUAUGUUGUGUGGUGUUUGACUUCACUGACCCAACGAAAAAUCUGAGAGAAAAAGACAUCAAGCGGCAGACGUUGCUAGAGCUUGUAGAUUAUGUUACUUCUGCAAAUGGAAAGUUCAAUGAAAUCAUAGUGCAAGAAGUUGUAAAGGUGGUGACUGUGAAUUUGUUCAGGUCAUUCUCUCCACAGCCCCGUGAGAAUAAGGUUUUAGAAGGAUUUGAUGUGGAGGAGGAGGAGCCUUUGAUGGACCCUGCAUGGUCACACUUACAGAUUGUGUACGAACUUUUCUGAGGUUUGUUGCAUCGCCCGAGACAGAUGCAAAGGUCGCUAAGAAGUACAUUGAUCAGUCUUUUGUUCUCAAAUUAUUGGAUCUCUUUGAUUCUGAGGAUCCUAGGGAAAGGGAGUACUUAAAAACAAUUCUGCAUCGUGUCUAUGGAAAGUUUAUGGUGCAUCGCCCAUUCAUUAGGAAGGCGAUCAACAAUAUAUUUUUCCGAUUUAUUUUUGAAACAGAAAAGCACAAUGGGAUUGCUGAGCUUUUAGAGGUUUUGGGCAGUAUAAUCAAUGGAUUUGCUCUUCCGCUUAAAGAAGAACACAAACUUUUCCUAGUUCAGGCUCUGAUCCCCCUUCACAAACCAAGAUGCUUACAAAUGUACCAUCAGCAGUUGUCCUACUGCAUUUCACAGUUUGUCGAGAAAGAUUGCAAGCUUGCAGAUACUGUUAUAAGAGGGCUGUUAAAGUACUGGCCAAUCACAAAUAGUUCAAAGGAAGUCAUGUUCCUAAGUGAGCUCGAGGAAACUUUAGAAGCAACUCAGCCAGCAGAAUUUCAAACAUGUAUGGUACCACUCUUCCGCCAAAUAUCUCGUUGCUUGAGCAGUUCACAAUUUCAGGUGGCAGAGAGGGCCUUGUACUUGUGGAACAAUGACCACAUCGAGGACUUAAUCAGACAAAACCGUAAAGUCAUAUUGCCCAUUAUCUUUCCUGCUUUGGAGAAGAAUGGCCACAACCACUGGAACCAAGUGGCGCGGAGGUUGACGUUAAACAUCCGUAAAAUCUACUCUGACAUUGAUCCUGAGCUAUUUGAGGAGUGUUUGCUCAAAUUUCAAGAAGAUGAAGCAAAAGAGGAGGAGAUUAAAGCAAAACAUGUAGCCACCUGGAAGCACUUAGAAGAGAUUGCUGCUUCUAACGCUGUUAGCAGUGAAGCAGUUGUUGGCCGCUUGGACCCAACCCAGACAUCUCCAAGCUAAUGGUAGAGGGAUAUACUUAUGCAGUUAGAAGUUCUCAUAUUUCUGUUUUGCUGCUUUUUCUGAUCGUUGGGUGGGAGCAUUGCGUGGCCGUGUGCUGUGAAAGGUUGAACACUAUUUGAUAGUUGUCCAUAGCCUUUUCUGUUUUUCCCUCUAUUUCAGCUCGUCACCCCUAACGUUUAGAGAAACGUUCCACAGCAUUGAAGUUCAUGAUUCUGGGAUUUUCACAGAUACCAUUUGCACGAAACAACACAACAGGAGUUAGAAGCUGCAUUAUGUAUUCAGCACGGUGAACAUAGAGGUAUAGUUGAUAAGGGUUAACAUGAAAGAAGCUACAAAAUACAGGUAAUUUUAUUCAUUUGGAGUAGAUUUAAUUGGUUUGAAGUACUUAACUACUUAGUCUCGUUUCUGUAUGUGUAUAAUAUCUAUCCAUGGAUCUCAGAAAGAAUCUGUUUGCGUGUGCUUUUUUUUUAAUAUAUUGAUAUAUCUGAUUGGCUUUAGUUGUGA